rnacentral:piRNA from 1 species
UAUUGACUGGGACAAGCCCUGGAGCC